rnacentral:rRNA from 1 species
CACGUAGGGUGCGAGCGUUAUCCGGAAUUAUUGGGCGUAAAGAGCUCGUAGGCGGUUUGUCGCGUCUGCUGUGAAAACCCGAGGCUCAACCUCGGGCCUGCAGUGGGUACGGGCAGACUAGAGUGCGGUAGGGGAGAUUGGAAUUCCUGGUGUAGCGGUGGAAUGCGCAGAUAUCAGGAGGAACACCAGUGGCGAAGGCGGUUGCCUGGAGCUUUGCUGACGCUGAUGCGCGAAAGCGUGGGGAGCGAUCCGG